rnacentral:rRNA from 1 species
UAAAGCAAGAAAGGGCGUAUGGGGAAUGCCUAGGCACACUCCGGCGAAGAAGGACGCAGCAAACAGCGAAAUGCGACGGUGAGCGGUAAGCACGUGAAGAGCCGUCGAUAUCCGAAUGGGGGAACCCACACGGAGUCAUAUCCGUGUAUCACAUGUCGAAUACAUAGACAUGAUGAGGCGAGACGCAGGGAACUGAAACAUCUAAGUACCUGCAGGAAGAGAAAAUAAGAAUGAUUUUCUGAGUAGCGGCGAGCGAAAGGGAAAGAGCCCAAACCGAUUUGAGGAUCGGGGUAGUAGGAUCAUCGAUAAAUCAAACAGAGGAUCAUAGAGGAAUCACAUGGGAAGGUGAGCGAGAGAGGGUGAGAGCCCCGUACUCGAAAUGAGAGACUGGAGAGAGAUGACACCUGAGUAGGGCGGGACACGAGAAAUCCUGUCUGAAUCAGCCGGGACCAUCCGGCAAGGCUAAAUACGAGAGAGUGACCGAUAGUGAACCAGUACCGUGAGGGAAAGGUGAAAAGAACCCCGGGAGGGGAGUGAAAGAGAACCUGAAACCAUAUGCCUACAAGAAGUCAGAGCCCGUUAAAGGGUGAUGGCGUGCCUUUUGUAGAAUGAACCGGCGAGUUACUGUAUGGAGCGAGGUUAAGCAGGAUAUGCGGAGCCGAAGCGAAAGCGAGUCUUAAGAGGGCGCGAGUUGCAUGCAGUAGACCCGAAACCGGGUGAUCUAGCCAUGACCAGGUUGAAGUUGGGGUAAAACCCGAUGGAGGACCGAACCGACCCCCGUUGAAACGUUGGCGGAUGAGUUGUGGCUAGGGGUGAAAUUCCAAUCGAACCCGGAGAUAGCUGGUUCUCCCCGAAAUAGCUUUAGGGCUAGCGUCGAGAGAAGAGUUGCGUGAAGGUAGAGCACUGAAUAUGUGAUGGCCCCAUCUCGGGGUACUGAGCAUAAUCAAACUGCGAAUGUCACGCCAACAUGCUCGGCAGUCAGACAGCGGGUGAUAAGGUCCGUUGUCAAGAGGGAAACAGCCCAGACCAUCAGCUAAGGUCCCAAAAUGUAUGCUAAGUGGAAAAGGAUGUGGAGAUGUACAGACAACUAGGAGGUUGGCUCAGAAGCAGCCAUCCUUUAAAGAGUGCGUAACAGCUCACUAGUCGAAUGACUCUGCGCCGAUAAUUUACCGGGGCUAAGCAUACUACCGAAGCUAUGGAUCCCAAGGGAUGGUAGGGGAGCGUUCCAUGAACGGAGAAGUACGACCGAAAGGACGUGUGGAGAUCAUGGAAGAGAGAAUGCCGGUGUGAGUAGCGGAACGUGGGUGAGAAUCCCACGCACCGAAAACCCAAGGUUUCCAGAGGAAGGUUCGUCCGCUCUGGGUAAGUCGGGACCUAAGGCGAGGCCGAAAGGCGUAGUCGAUGGACAACAGGUAGAGAUUCCUGUACCCGUAUAUAUGUGAAGGAAUGACGGAGAGAGGAAGCUGCAGCCAGCGGCUGGAAGAGCUGGUGCAAGCGAGAUAUCGGGAUGGCAGGCAAAUCCACCAUCCGAAACGAGAAGGCGUGAAGCGUACGGAAAGCUACGGCGAGUACGGAAGGCAGUGGAGGAACUUCCAAGAAAAGUUUCUAACGUUAAGUAUAUAUGGCCCGUACCGAAAAUGGACACACAUGGGUGAGGAGAGAAUCCUAAGGUGAGCGAGAGAACUAUAGCUAAGGAACUCUGCAAAAUGACUCCGUAACUUAGGGAGAAGGAGUGCUCAUAGAGAUAUGAGCCGCAGUGAAACGGCCCAAGCGACUGUUUACCAAAAACACAGCUCUCUGCUAAGCCGCAAGGCGAAGUAUAGGGGGUGACGCCUGCCCGGUGCUGGAAGGUUAAGGGGAGGGGUUAACGCAAGUGAAGCCCUGAACUGAAGCCCCAGUAAACGGCGGCCGUAACUAUAACGGUCCUAAGGUAGCGAAAUUCCUUGUCAGGUAAGUUCUGACCCGCACGAAAGGCGUAACGAUUUGGGCGCUGUCUCAGCUGUAGACUCGGUGAAGUCUUAGUACCUGUGAAGAUGCAGGUUACCCGCGACUAGACGGAAAGACCCCAUGGAGCUUCACUGCAGGUUGAUAUUGGGAUUUGAUGCAGCAUGUACAGGAUAGGUAGGAGGCAAAGAGAUGGAUACGCCAGUAUUCAAGGAGCCGCUGUUGGGAUACUACCCCUGUUGUAUUGGAUUUCUAACCGGACGACGUAGAGCCGUUGACGGGACAGUGUCAGUCGGGCAGUUUGACUGGGGCGGUCGCCUCCCAAAGAGUAACGGAGGCGCCCAAAGAUACCCUCAGCUUGGAUGGAAACCAAGCGCAGAGUGCAAAGGCAAAAGGGUGUUUGACUGCGAGACCCACAAGUCGAGCAGGGACGAAAGUCGGGCUUAGUGAUCCGGCGGUGCUGAAUGGAAAGGCCGUCGCUCAACGGAUAAAAGCUACCCUGGGGAUAACAGGCUGAUCUCCCCCAAGAGUCCACAUCGACGGGGAGGUU